rnacentral:rRNA from 1 species
CAGUCGCCGCGGUAAUACGUAGGGUGCAAGCGUUAAUUGGAAUUACUGGGCGUAAAGCGUGCGCAGGCGGUUAUAUAAGACAGAUGUGAAAUCCCCGGGCUCAACCUGGGAACUGCAUUGGUGACUGCAACGCUGGAGUGCGGCAGAGGGGGAUGGAAUUCCGCGUGUAGCAGUGAAAUGCGUAGAUAUGCGGAGGAACACCGAUGGCGAAGGCAAUCCCCUGGGCCUGCACUGACGCUCAUGCACGAAAGCGUGGGGAGCAAACAGGAUUAGAUACCCCCGUAGUCCCUGUCUCUUAUAC